GGAGCUGCAGCCCGUGGAGAGGAGCCCACGCAGGAGCAGAGGAUCUGGGGGGAGCUGCCGCCCAUGGGGGACCCAUGCUGGAGCAGUUUGCUCCUGGGGGAAGGAUGGACCCUGUGGUACGGAGCCAUGUGGGAGCAGUUCUUGAAGAGCUGCUGCCUGUGGGCAGCCCCUGCAGGCUCAGUUUAGGCAUCCCGUGGGAGGGACCCCAUGUGGAGUAGGGGCAGAGAGGUGAUAAGACAGCCUUCUGGAGUAUCAACCAUUCAUUUCGUUUCUAUGUCACUACUAGUUACUGGCCUUCCAAGAGAUGUCCUGUGUCUGAUCCCCACUCUCUUAGCAUGCUCGUUCAACCAAUUUGCAACCCACUUAAUGGUAAAUCAAGGUGAAAAAAAUUAAAGAAAAAAGACACAUCAAAACACCAUCCCAACCCAACAGUGUUUGUAACAUGUGGGGCAAAGUGCUACAGGCCCUGUUGGGGCAGAUGGCCCAUGGUGACAUCACUGAGCAAUGGGCUGUGACCUCAUAGCCCUUGCUGCUUAUAUUGGGGCACCAGCAGAGGCCACGUCAGUCUAGCUCGUGGCUGGACUCCUGCUGAGCAUGUGUGCGAGGCUUGGAGCACCGAGCGAGGAUUUGGUGGAGCCGUGCUGUGGGGCCACCGGCAGCUGUUCUCAGUGCCCGUCCCUACAGCCAUUGCCCGUGUUUCCCCGGCCCUGCCUGGCUCAGGCAGCCGGGGCCCCGCGGGACACAGCGCAGCGCAGUGAAAUUACUUAGGUGGAUUCUAAGCUCCCUUCCCAGCCCUAAAAAAAACAGCCAAACAAACAACAAAACACCAACCAACAACCUCAGAAGCUCAAGUGCAUGCAGGUGUGUGUCUGGGCCACGGAGAAACUUUCUGAAGAGGUCCGCCAACUUAAAGAGAAUUGAUCUCCCUCCCCACCUGUACAAACCAGUGUCUCAGCUAUCAGUGAUAAGUGUCCUCCUGUGCAAUGAAGAUGACAAAGUGGGUACACGCGCUGUGCCACCCUGUGGUUUUCCCUACAUGACCAUGGAGAGAACACAAAAAGGGAUGGAGAAUCUACUAGGACGCUACAGCCACGGGAAUCUGAGCUGCAAAGACAAAAAAAAGGGGGGUUCUGUGAGAAAUAUGU
rnacentral:lncRNA from 1 species